rnacentral:sRNA from 1 species
AUUUUAUCAAAUAACGGUGGUGCAGUAUUCUAGUCAAAGGUGCUAUAUUUGAAGACGGGCCUAAAAAUCCGUUAAGGGCACAUCGAUGAAGUUCCUGGUGCUGGCUUACGACGCCCAGUCGUGGGCUGGUGCUGGGAGUUAAGGGGGAUGGGGCGAUCCACAAUGGCAUGUGGGCGUUGACCCCGCCUCCGCGGAGACCUAAGUUUGUAGUUUAUCACGUAGAUGGGGUGCUAAAUUAUGGCUUAGGAUAGAAACCUGUAUGCGGUUCUGCCCGAAAACAAGGGCUGUGUACAGUGUAGCCUGCCUUGAGUGGUAAUGGUGGAUACUAUUUAAAAACUGGAUUUUCAAAGGGGCCUAAUUUGAAAACCAGGGGUUGAAACCAUUAGUGCAAAAGAGGCUAGGAUAUAGCAACCUUUGUCGAGGAAAGCUCCUAGACUGUUCCGUAAGGAAAUAUAGAAGGGAUUAAAGUGCGGACUAAGUGGCAAUCUAGCCCUGUUUAAAACAGAGAAAAUUUUAAAGGGAAACCGCCUGGAUGGCGACACCAGGUAAUUUUCUGGGAAAACCUGCUAGACCUAAGCCGCAACAUUUACCUUCUAUAUUACCACCGUUAGUUACAUAUAA